rnacentral:rRNA from 1 species
UACAGAGGGUGCAAGCGUUGUUCGGAAUUAUUGGGCGUAAAGGGCGCGUAGGCGGUGCGGUAAGUCUGUAGUGAAAUCUCUGGGCUCAACUCAGAGUCUGCUGCAGAAACUGCCGUGCUUGAGUGUGGGAGAGGUGAGUGGAAUUCCUGGUGUAGCGGUGAAAUGCGCAGAUAUCAGGAAGAACACCCGUGGCUAAGGCGGCUCUCUAGUACGGUACUGACGCUGAGACGCGAAAGCGUGGGGAGCGAACAGG